rnacentral:lncRNA from 1 species
GAAUGGGGGAAUGGGGAUGUAGCUCAGUGACAGAAUGUCCCAAAGUUCAAUCCCCAGUACUUCAAAAAUAAUAAACAAGUAAGUUCCCAGACUGUGUGAGAACACCCAGGGAAGCAGUGAAGAGUGAAUUGGCUGUACCAUUCUCUGCAGCCCCAGCUACCUCUAUGUCCCAAUCUCCUGCCCUCUUCUGGUAGCCAGUCUGAGUGUCAGCUCUGCAAGAAGUAAGCAGGUGUGAAUUUAAAUUAAAAGUGGUUUAGCACUAAUGUCAACAAACAACCUAACCAGAGAGCAUUAUAAUGUUAAAAUUUUGAAAGACGAAUUUACAACAAAUGUGACUUUCUUUCAAUUGAAUGCAGAUAAAACUAAAUUCAGCUUACCCAGGCUUUCUUUGGAGUCUACCCUAAAAAAUGAGUAUAUACUGAGUGUUAAGGGGCUGAUUUAAAAAACAGAAAUGGGUCCGAGUUAAAAGGCUGAAUCUAGCUGAGCACAGUGACACCUGUAAUACCAGCUACCGGGGAGGCCCAUGCAGGAGGUUUGCAAAUUCAAGGUCACCCUGGGCAACCUCGUAAGACCCUAUCUCUCUCUCUUUUUUUUUUUUUGGUGUGUGUGUGUGUGUGUGUGUGUUUCUGGGGAUUGAACCCAGAGCCUUGUGCAUGGGAGGCAAGCACUCUAUCAACUGAGCUAUAUCCCCAGCCCUACUGUCUCAAUUUAAAAAAAAAAUUAAAUAAACAAUGAAAAGGGCUGGGAAGUAGUUCCCUGGGUCAGUCCCCAGUACCACACACACAAAGUCUGGGGCUGGGGUUGUGGCUUAGUGGUAGAGUGCUUGCCUAGCAUGCAUCAGGCACUGGGUUCGAUCUUCAGCACCACAUAAAUGUAAAAUAAAGAUAUUGUGCCCACCUAAAAUUAAAAAAUAAAUAUUAAAAAAAAUCUAAAUCCCACACAAGUUUCACUUUCCUACAAAGGACAAGAUUUUUCUUAUAUCAAGAUUCAUGUCUGAAGUACAUACCUUUGUGAGAACAAGGAUCACACAAAACUGCAUUGUAUGUCCCUCCUGUGGAUCCUCCGCUGACUUCUGUUCAUCCACCAGGAUACUUAGAAAUGCUGUAUUAUAGUUACCUUUUUAUUUCCUUGUCUUCCCUAUUGGACUGUAGACUUCUUGACAAAGGUGGGAAAUGUAUUUUUUCCUCCCACUAUACCCAACACAUAGUAGCCAUGGAAAUAUGUGUUGGCCAGGACAAGACAUUUCAGGAUUUCUUCUACUAGAAUCUCAGACUGUUCUAGGAAGUUCUGGCUUGUUUGGGAUUUCUCAAUGCACCUCCUGGGUGUCUUGGAAUAUUACCUGAAGUCCAGAACAGUUCCAAAGGAGAAUGACAAGUAGAACCAGCUCUUCCUCUCCAUUGAAACUCCUAGAUGGCCUUGGACCUUUCUGGGUUCUUAGGUUGUGGACAAAUGCCUCAGCACUCACAGUUCAUUCUGUUCUGAGGUUGCUUGGAUUUUAGACUCUAGCACAGAAAAGCAAAGGAUACAUCAAUUACAUAGGUGUCUUUUAAAUUUUUUUUAGUUAUACAAUAACUAAAAAUAUUGGAUACAAUAUCUUUAUUGUUAUGUGGUGCUGAGUAUGGAACCCAGUGCCUCACAGGUGUGAGGCAAGUGCUCUGCCACUGAGCCACAACCCCAGCCCCUACAUAGGUAUCUUGAUUCAGGUGUUUUUCAAACUUGAGUCAUUGGAGAGAGGAGGCAAAGGAGAAGGUUCUGGAUGGACUCUGAUUCCCUCCCCAGCUUUAACCAGAUCAGUUCUGCUUAUAUAUUAGGGUUCCAUUGCUGGGGUGGGGAAAGGAGCUCCUUCUCUGAAACAUGACAGCUGAUUCUUUUUCCUCCCUAUCAGGCUGUAGACAAUGAAUAGCAUCCGGGCUCAAAGGGGAUCCUCCAAAUGUGCUAUUUUCACAUCACUGGGGAAAUGGUCUGAAAGCAAAUAAGAUAACCGCCUAAUCAGUGAAACCAAAUCACAGCCUGAAGCUUGAGAAAAUGUGGAAAGUUCUUGAUGAGGGGUUAGAGCAGGUCCAGAGUAAAGUGCACAAAUAAGCAAGCAAGGGAAUCCAUGGCACAUAGCUCAGAGUUAAAAUGCUGAGUGCCUACUCAUUAGAGAGGCGUUUAUAUCACAUGUGUGACUCUGAUAGGAGACUAAGGUAGAAGGGAGGCCUAAAGUCUGGAACAAGGGGAGUCUUUUGCCUCUGCUGUAUGCAGAUUUCUGUUGGACUGAAGUCUGGUUAGAGGGUUAGGAUGAGCCUAGGUAUGGCCAGUGGCUGACUCAGGCCUACUGUCCUGAAAAAAAGGACUAGACACUGAAGGACCCAGGUUCUCAAAACUCAUAGAAUCUCAAAAGUGAAUCACCAAGCCUUAGUUUUUCUUAUAUCAGAUUAAAUGAUGUGAGCAUUCAGUAGGCAGUUUGAUAUGAGUCUAAAGUUCUUGGAUGAAAUCUAAGAUAGAGAUUUUGAUUUGGUAGUUGUCAAAUGGAUUGAGAUUACCUGGAGAGGGACCGAAGGGUUGACUGACUAUACCCUUCAGCUCAGCCCUAAUAACACAGUUUCAAAGUGAAUACCAGCCUAUGCUUAACCACUCCUUAUGAAUGGCCUCGGCCACGAUAAGAUUCUGAGCAAGCUUUUACUUCUCUGAGCAGAUGUCUCAAAGACUGGCUACUGCUGCCUUCCUCAUGAUGGCCUUCUUUGGAAAUGGAAAUUUCUUCUUCCUUUGGAAUGUAUAUGUCAAGCUAUAAUAGACCUAAAUUCACCUUGCACACCUUUUCUUUCAAUUUUAUCUCUGUCUUUUAAUUGAAUUUGCAAAUGACUUACUGAUUACUUCUAUAUGAACAACUUUCAUUGGCUCAUCUCAGUUUUCAUUCAGCAGUGGUAGUAAAUUGCCAAGUCCCUAGAAAAUUUCAUGGAAGACUCCCAUGUACAAAAUAUGGUGGGAGGACAUCACACAGGAAUGAGGCUAGUAUCCCAGGAAGGUAGGCAGAUGCUCACUAGUUUUUCCAGAAAAUUCUCUGUCUCUCCUGCAUCCCCUGUCCUGCCUGGAAAGGGAAAGAUUUUUUCUUUUUUGAAAUGGAUAGCUAUCUUGAAUUGCUUAUCUUUCCCUUGAGGAAGGAAGAGGAGGGAAGAAACCUCAAGGUUCGCCUUGCCUGGUUGACCAGGAGGCAUUUUGUCAAGGGGGAAAGAUGCUAAAACCCCAGCAAUAGAUGCAUAUUCAAAAGAAUUGAAAACAGACAUUUAAACAAAUUAUGCACAAAUAUUUAUAGACACACUGUUCACAAUAACCAAAAGAUAGAAAUAACCCAAAUAUCCAUCAAAUCUAGUGAAUGGAUAAACAAAAUGUAGUCUGGGUGGUGCAUACCUGGGAUCCCAGCAACUCGGGAGGCUGAGGAAGGAAGAUCACAAGUUCAAGGCUAGCCUUAGCAACUUAGUGAGGUGAGGCCCUAAAGCAACUUAGCAAGACCUUGUCUCAAAAUAAAAACUAAAAAGGACUAGGUAUGUAGCUCAGUGAUAAAGUGCCCCUGGGUUAAAUCCCCAAUAUCUCAAAAAAAAAAAAAAGUAGUAGAUCUGGGGCUGGGGAU